GGCGGGGCUGAGCAGGAAAGAAGCAACACGGUAGAUGGCAUGUAAAGUGGAAUGCAUCCUUUGUGAGUUAUGUGUGAUGUCACUUUGAGACUUCCAGAAAUAACUAAGCAAGACUUUGAAGGAGCCUGGAGUCCUGCAUUGGCAGAUUGGGGAAGAGAGGCAUCUAGAGGUAUCUACAGCCACCAGCCCUCUAGUGACAAAGCGAGAACCUCAGACUCAAAUCUCCAACAUUCCAGUCUGUGCCUUCUUCAUGUUCCUGGGCAGCUUUGUUCAAGCAUCUAUAAUGGCUUCCUAUUUCUAACUGUACCAAAUUAAAAUGUUCUGGUCUGGCA